CUUGAGAGAGACCGAUAGCAUGUUAUGUAUUUUAUUCCUUUUUUUUCUAAGUAAACUUAGGAGUUGUCUGGUUUAAUGUAAAAUUGUGAAAAAAUAAUUUUGGUGGAAAAAUAUUUUCGGAGAAAAAUAAAUAUUACGCUCUCUAGUGUUUGGUUAGUAGGAAAAAAAAAGUAGUUUUUUAUUACGAUUGUUUGCUUGAAAGGAAAAAAAAAAGAAAGAAGAAAAAGUUAUAAAUUAAAAAUUAUUACAUAUUUUCUCUUCUUAUGUAUUAUAUAUUACUAAUAUAAUUUAUAAUAUUACAUAUAUUAGUAUUAUAAUUUAUAUUUAUAAAUAAAAUAUAUUU
rnacentral:lncRNA from 1 species